UACGGGGGGGGCAAGCGUUGUUCGGAAUUACUGGGCGUAAAGGGCUCGUAGGCGGCCAACUAAGUCAGACGUGAAAUCCCCAGGCUCAACCUGGGAACUGCGUCUGAUACUGGAUGGCUUGAAUCCGGGAGAGGGAUGCAGAAUUCCAGGUGUAGCGGUGAAAUGCGUAGAUAUCUGGAGGAAUACCGGUGGCGAAGGCGGCAUCCUGGACCGAGAUUGACGCUGAGGCGCGAAAGCCAGGGGAGCAAACGGG
rnacentral:rRNA from 1 species